rnacentral:rRNA from 1 species
GAUGAACGCUGGCGGCGUGCCUAAUACAUGCAAGUCGAGCGAACGGACGAGAAGCUUGCUUCUCUGAUGUUAGCGGCGGACGGGUGAGUAACACGUGGAUAACCUACCUAUAAGACUGGGAUAACUUCGGGAAACCGGAGCUAAUACCGGAUGAUAUUUUGAACCGCAUGGUUCAAAAGUGAAAGACGGUCUUGCUGUCACUUAUAGAUGGAUCCGCGCUGCAUUAGCUAGUUGGUAAGGUAACGGCUUACCAAGGCAACGAUGCAUAGCCGACCGGAGAGGGUGAUCGGCCACACUGGAACGGGGACACGGUCCAGACUCCUACGGGAGGCAGCAGUAGGGAAUCUUCCGCAAUGGGCGAAAGCCUGACGGAGCAACGCCGCGUGAGUGAUGAAGGUCUUCGGAUCGUAAAACUCUGUUAUUAGGGAAGAACAUAUGUGUAAGUAACUGUGCACAUCUUGACGGUACCUAAUCAGAAAGCCACGGCUAACUACGUG